ensembl:lncRNA kelch like family member 31
AUACUAAGGGCAGCAGCGACGACGGAGACGAGCGGCAGUUUUAUCGGCGGUAAGUGGGCGGCGGUUCGCGGACCGGGGAGGAGGAGUUAAUCCCCAGUUCCUCCAGAUCUCUCUCUCCCCUUCUCUCUCUCUCUCUCUCUCUCUCUCCCUCCCCUGCACACCAGCUUGGAGGUGCGAGUCCCUUCUGCUCCGGCCACUGCUUCGUCCCUGCGCUGGGUAACCUUUGGCCUCGCAUAUGAACCAGAAGACCCAUGUUCAAAUCCCACUUACUACCAUCGUGUCCCUGACUCGUGUCCCUGACUGUCCCCGUAACUACUGAUUGUCUCGGCCGUGACCCCGCCCCCCUGCUACAGUCAUGGCACCCAAGAAGAACAAAGCUGCCAAGAAGAACAAAGGAGACAUAAACGAGAUGACCAUACUGGUGGAGGAUGGUCCAGUCAACAAGAUCAAUGGGCUGAACGCUCUUCUGGAGGGUGGAAAUGGCUUCAGCUGCAUCUCGACCGAGGUCAACGAUGCCGUCUAUGCGCCCAACCUCCUGGAGGGCUUGAACAACAUGAGACAGGACAGCUUCCUGUGUGACUUGAUCGUCUCCACUAAAUCGAAGUCUUUCGACGUCCACAAAGUUGUGAUGGCCUCCUGCAGUGAAUACAUCCGGAACGUGCUGAAGAAGGAACCGUCCCUUCAGAAGAUAGACCUCAGCGACGUCUCCCCGGUUGGCCUGGCCACGGCCAUUACGUACGCAUACUCUGGGAAACUGACCUUGUCGCUGUACACCAUCGGCAGCACCAUCGCAGCGGCGCUCUUCCUGCAGGUCCAGACGCUCGUGAAAAUGUGCAGCGACUUCCUGAUGCAGGAGAUCAGCGUGGAGAACUGCAUGUACGUGGCGAACAUCGCGGACACGUACAACCUCAAAGAAACCAAGGAGGCGGCGCAGAAGUUCAUGCGCGAGAACUUCAUCGAAUUUUCAGAGAUGGAGCAGUUCCUCAAGCUGCCGUACGAGCAGAUCAACGAGUUUCUGACGGACGAUUCUCUUCAGCUGCCAUCCGAGCUCACGGCUUUCCAGAUUGCCAUGAAGUGGCUGGAUUUCGACGAGAAGAGGCUGAAGUACGCCGCAGACCUGCUGACCAACAUCCGCUUCGGCACCAUCUCGGCCCAGGACCUGGUCAGCCAUGUCCAGAGCGUGCCGAGGAUGAUGCAGGACCCCGAAUGUCACCGCCUGCUGGUCGAUGCCAUGAACUACCACCUGCUGCCGUACCAACAGAACAUCCUGCAGUCUCGGAGGACCAAGGUCCGCGGCGGCCUCAAGGUCCUGCUCACGGUAGGUGGGCGGCCGGCCUUGACAGAAAAGUCUCUCAGCAAGGAGGUCCUCUACAGAGAUGCUGACAACGUGUGGAACAAGUUGACCGAGAUGCCUGCAAAGAGCUUCAAUCAGUGCGUGGCGGUCCUGGAUGGCUUUCUGUACGUUGCGGGCGGUGAGGACCAAAAUGACGCAAGGAACCAGGCCAAGCACGCGGUUAGCAACUUCAGCAGAUACGAUCCCCGAUUCAACACUUGGAUCCACCUGGCCAACAUGAUCCAGAAGCGGACUCACUUCAGCCUGAGCACCUUCAACGGCCUCCUGUUCGCCGUGGGAGGCCGCAACUCGGAGGGCUGCCAGGCGUCCCUGGAGUGCUACGUGCCCUCGUCCAACCAGUGGCAAGCGAAGGCGCCCAUGGAGGUGCCGCGGUGCUGCCACGCGAGCACGGUCAUCGACGGCAAGAUCCUGGUCACCGGCGGCUACAUCAACAACGCCUACUCCCGGGCGGUGUGCGCGUACGAGCCGUCCACCGACAGCUGGCAGGACAAGAACGGCCUGAGCACCCCGAGGGGCUGGCACUGCGCCGUCUCCGUCGGCGACCGCGCCUACGUCAUCGGCGGCAGCCAGCUGGGGGGCCGCGGCGAACGGGUAGACGUCUUGGCGGUGGAGUGUUUUAAUCCCCAUUCCGGGCAGUGGAGCUACGCUUCCCCCUUGCACGUGGGGGUCAGCACGGCGGGCGCCGCCGCCCUGAAUAACCGGGCCUACGUCCUGGGAGGCUGGAAUGAGGUUGAGAAGAAAUAUAAGAAAUGCAUCCAGGUGUACAACCCCGACCUGAAUGAAUGGACCGAGGAUGACGAGUUGCCGGAGGCUACAGUCGGCAUUUCGUGCUGCGUUGUGAGCAUCCCGACGCGCAAAACGCGAGAAUCCAGAGCCAGUUCAGUAUCAUCAGCGCCAGUCAGUAUAUAACAUCCAAGCAGGUUCAUACAUUUACACAAGACUGCAAUAUUUGCCUUAAGGUAUUGUAUUAAUGUAUGACAUUGUACACACAAAUACAGUAUUCAUCAGGACAAUGAGCACGGCCAAACUGCAUUAACACAUAGUGGUGCACAUAGAAACCAACGUUGUGUUCCACGGGAUACUAUAGAGGGAUUGAUAAUGCAUUGUUCAAUUUGACAAUGACAUAACUUUUAAUUAAGAGAAAAUACUUUAGAAUCACGAAUUAUCAGAAACACUGUCUGUAUAGGUUUACAAGCUGUGAAGUACCGAACAUUUCACAAUAUAGACACAAUUUUAUAUUUAUGGGGCCAGUUUUUUUUUUAUCUCCCCCUUUUGAUAUACAUACAUCACAGAUGCAUCACACACAGUGCAGACUACCCACUGAAAUUUUAACUUUGAACAUACAGUACAGUACAGGCCAAAGGUUUGGCCACACCUUCUCAUUCAAUGUGUUUUAUAUAUUUUUAUGACGUUGGUAGAUUCUCACUGAAGGUAUCAAAACUAUGAAUGAACACAUGUACUUAACAAAAAAAGGUGAAAUAACUAGUUUUAUAUUCUAGUUUCUUUGCUCUGAUUACUGCUUUGCACACUCUUGGCAUUCUCUCGAUGAGCUUCAAGAGGUCGUCACCUGAAAUGCUUCUCCAACAGUCUUGAAGGAGUUCCCAGAGGUGUUUAGCACUUGUUGGGGUCCAGCUCACCCCAAACCAUCUGGAUUGGGUUCAGGUCCGGUGACUGUGGAGGCCAGGUCUCCACCUUUUGUUAAGUACAUAACUCCACAUGUGUUCAUUCAUAGUUUUGAUGCCAAUAGUGAGAAUCUACCAACGUAAAUGGUCAAGAAAAUAAAGAAAUCACAUUGAAUGAGAAGGUGUCUCCA